GUGUGUGUGUGUGUGUGCGCGCGCGCGCGCGCGCGCGUUUCUCCAGCCGCUGUGUCCGCGGGGACUGCUUUUCUGGGUAUUUCAUUAUUGCAAACAUCUGGCGCCACAGCCUGGCCCGUAGCAGCUGCUUGAUAAAUGAUGCCAGACAAGGAUUCCCCGGACCGACACUCAGCGGCAGCUUCCCAACGCUGAGCCAAAGCGGUGUCAUCCCAGAGGCAGCAGUUGGAACAGGAUUCGCCGCCCUCCUGAGUGUGGCCGGCUCAGCGGGUCCCGGGAGGGGCAAUUCUGCAGGGGGGUUUUGAAUGUCAUUUCUGAGAGCCCGUGCCUCCGUUCCUUCCACUUGUUCUAUAAACACAAAAUCCCUACAUGGGAUCCCUCAACGCUCCAAAAAGCAAGAGUAGUUUCUGCAUUGGAACCGGACGGACACAACCGUAAAUUGUAUCCAUAAUACUUGUCAAUAAGGAAAAUUAAAAACUAAGCAGAAACCGUGAACAAGCAUCGCAGAAGAGAAACAUCCGGUCUAUAAACAUGGAAAGUUGUUCGACCUCCUCAGCUUUCGGGGAAACGGCUGGGGUGACCAGGAGAGAUAGCCCUCCACACCCAGCAGACCCACAGUCUUCAAUGCCAAGUGCUGGUGAGGGUACAAAGCAGCUUUCACACAGUGUUGGAAGGACACGAAUUCAACCGCUUAGAGACACUUUGGAGUCAUUACGAAAACGGGACUUUUAUGCCCGACAACCGGAAGCUUCACUCUAAGUAGCCCUGAAGCAGCAUUUCCCCGCCUUCCUUAGACACGACACACAGAGAAAAACCACAAGAUGUCAUCGCACACGGAGUCCAACGAGGAGGUGGCCCACAGAUAGCGAUGACUGGCCAGGGGCCUGGACACAGCGGGCCGCCACCCGGCCACCCGAAGGGCUGACAAGAACACUAUCCCAGGACGCCCAUCGGUACACCUGUCGGUAGCACCGUCCCGGCAGCCCUUGCACAUGGGCAUCGGAAGACAUGGGCAAGAACGACCAGGGUGGCAAUGUUCACGCUGGCGGAGAAAGGGACACUACCCAGGUGCCUAGCAACAGGAGGAUAUACCAACCAAGUGGUAUAUUCACAUCUGGAGGCCAUGCAGUGCAGACGCAUGAGGCGCAGCCACAAGCAGCAUACAGAUGAGGCCUGGUGCCAGUUACUCACUGGUCGCCUCUCGGCUCCCAUCAACCCGUCUGCCCUGCGUCGCGAUGCAGGAGCUGGGCGCUGUGAAUGCCUCGUUUCCGCCAGCUGCCACGUUGGACCGACUGGUAGACACUGGCUGGACCCUGCAAGAGGAAAAGGCUUGUCUUCCUGGUCCUGGUGCUUUUAUUCUUUCUUCUCCCACAUGCAGCCAGCAGCUGUCUUCCCAGGAAGGCGUGCCAGCACCCAGCAGCUGGUUUCUGCUCUCCAGCCCAGCUGGUGCAGCUCAGCGACCUCCUCUAACACUCAGCAGACCCCGUUCCCCCGCCUCCCCCUCUCCCCACAAUGAGGGCUGGAUUUCAGCCUUGGUUGGGGGAGGGCUCUUCCCAGUUAUUCCGUCUUUGUAUGCUCUUCUCAGCCCUAGAGGUAGUAGCUACUUAUUCAUUGACUAGUCCUAAGGACUUUAAGUUCUCUACUAGCCCUCUUAGUACUUAAGCCUGUUUACUUAUGAAUAAUUCUCUAUAUUAAAUUUUUCUAUAUAAAUUA